rnacentral:rRNA from 1 species
CCUACGGGAGGCUGCAGUAGGGAAUCUUCCACAAUGGGCGAAAGCCUGAUGGAGCAACGCCGCGUGGGUGAAUAAGGUCCUCGGAUCGUUAAACCCUGUUCUUAGAGAAGAAAGUGCGUGAGAGUAACUGAUCACGUUUCGACGGUAUUUAACCAGAUAGCCACGGCUAACUACGGGCCAGCAGCCGCGGUAAUAAGUAGGUGGCAAGCGUUAUCCGGUUUUAUUGGGCGUAAAGGGGACGCAGGCGGUCUUGUAAGUCUGAUGUGAAAGCCUUCGGCUUAACCGGAGUAGUGCAUUGGAGACUGGGAGACUUGAGUGCAGAAGAGGGAAGUGGAACUCCAUGUGUAGCGGUGAAAUGCGUAGAUAUAUGGAAGAACACCAGUGGCGAAAGCGGCUCUCUGGUCUGUAACUGACGCUGAGGUUCGAAAGCGUGGGUAGCAAACAGGAUUAGAUACCCCUGUAGUC